rnacentral:rRNA from 1 species
AACGUAGGUGGCGAGCGUUAUCCGGAAUUACUGGGCGUAAAGCGUGCGCAGGCGGCUUUGCAAGACAGAUGUGAAAUCCCCGGGCUUAACCUGGGAACUGCAUUUGUGACUGCAUGGCUGGAGUGCGGCAGAGGGGGAUGGAAUUCCGCGUGUAGCAGUGAAAUGCGUAGAUAUGCGGAGGAACACCGAUGGCGAAGGCAAUCCCCUGGGCCUGCACUGACGCUCAUGCACGAAAGCGUGGGGAGCAAACAGG